CCAAUACCAAUGAUCGAAAGAGUACAUCUAACAGAGCUUAAGCGAGUGAGGGAGUGGUGUGAGCCUCAUAGUGAAACGAGAUGGAAAGACAUUCGUAAGGUGCAUUUUUGAAAAGAGUAGAAAAUGCCGUAACCCACGUUAUAGGGAUUAAAGGACUUUUGUUAAAGUAGGAUGGUACCGUGAAGACACCUUCGCUCCUAUAUGGGGCGGAGGUUUUAUUUUUUUGGUAUUGCCCACAUGCAAAGGCAUACAAUUUUAAAAUUUUGUAGUCGUCAUGUGAUUUAACAAUAGUUGAAAUAGGGUGGCACCGCGUAUUCGUACGCCCCUUGA
rnacentral:ncRNA from 1 species